rnacentral:lncRNA from 1 species
CAUCAGGUGCACCAAACCAUUUUUAUUCCAUUAACUAAUUGUCACAUACAUACAGUUCAUUCUAUUCUAAGCACCAAGACAAGACACCAUACAUCAGGCUUACAGAAGGACAACAAAAAGAAUCAAGUAUGAGACAUCAGUUGUACAGAAUGAAAGCUAAAACAUCCAUUUGACGCGGGUCGCCGGCUUCAUGGUUCAUUUCCUUAUGUUUGCUUCCUACAGAAGCUAAAGAAGUCUCAAUUAUUAGAAUGUUCAAUUAAUUUAUGAAAUUGAAUAGAGACAGAAUUCAUAUCUGCACUAUGCGCACACAAGAGCACAAAAUGAGGAAUACACUUAUCUAAUCUAUAAAAUUAGCAUUUCGAAACAUGAAGACCACCAAUCGACUCCCAGCAGUGGCCAUGGAUGUGGCAUAGAAGCCCUGUGUACGAUUGCUGAGCAUUUAGUGUUCCUAGGGACAUACUUAAGUUACUGUGCAUAGGUCCCAGCAGCCAUUAUUCGAACACUUGUUUCCAAAAAAAAUAAACGUCCGUAGGGAAUAGUGUCAUAGGUAUAAGAGAAAUAAAAAUGAGUUGUGCGAACGACCAAUAUUUUCUUUACUGUUCAGGCCAUACAAGGAAAAAUAUAUCAGAAAUUUAGAAUUAGUAUCUCAAACGUAGAACCAGGUUACACAUUUCUUUUGCAAUUUAUGAAGGCAUAACCAGCAUCUGCAUGAUAACUAAAUAUAUGUACACUGCUUAUUAAUCUGUACGUACAGAUUAUAAAUACUAGGAUUUUCCUCAUACUUACUGAUUAAUAGCUCAUGGGUGGGCGCCUUCUUCAUGGCUGGGUAGAAUGGAAAAAUUACGCGUGCUGCCAUAUUGAAAUAUAGUUAGUCAAGAUCUUUUUUUAGGGAUAGUUAGUCAAGAUCUUGAUAAAGAUACAAUGUACUAUAUUGGCCUAGAGACAGGAUUCAGAAAUAGCAACUUUAAAAGCAACUAGCGAUGUAUUAUGCUCUGUUCUGUACUAUGGAUGUGCCAAUGGGAGUGUUCUGUAAUGCCAAAUUUAACUAUUACUAUUAAGCAAUAAGCAGCUAGCAGUGUAAACAAGAUACAAUGUUCUGACAAAUUUAACUAUUAUUAAGAGCAACUAGCAGUGUUCUGUACUAAUUGUAGAAAGUAGGCUCUGUACCCGUUUACCAUAAAUCAUAUUGUAGUGUUCAAUAAAACACAGGGAAACCAAUUAAAUGAAUCUGAACAUUGUUAAAAAGAUUGACAACGGCUCUGUUUCACUUCUCUUUUAAUUGAGUAAUUAGUUCUUUUGAUGGAGAGAACAAAUCAAUGCUGACCAAGAACUAAAAGUGUAAAAUAAUGAUAAACUUAUGUCCAGAUUAACUUAUGUAAUCUGGUCAUCAUGGGAUCUUCAUGCACUUUGAGCUAGGAUCCCAUGAUAAAUCAAUGCUGACCAGAUUCCAUGCACUCUUCAUCAUCUUCUUCUUCACCAUCAUUAUCUUCCUCAGCUUCAACUCUUGAGUUCUAUCAGACAACAAUAUGGAGAUGAGUUAUCGCGUGCAAGAUGGAUUAUUGAUUCAAUGAAAAGUUGUGGAAAUAGUCCACUACUAGUCGAGAACUGGAACCGUGCUACGAGCUAGGACUUAGAAAACAUUAGACGAUCGUACACAACACUUACUUCUUUCAAUAUCGCUUGCAUUAAGAACUAAUCCAUCUCUAUAUGGCCUAGCAGAAACAGAAGCAAAACCUGUGUUCUGAUCUU